GAGUAACACGUGACUAACCUGCCCUUGAGUGGGGGAUAACCUCGGGAAACCGGGGCUAAUACCGCAUAACAUCGCAAGGUGAAAUUCCUGGCGAUCAAAGGAGCAAUUCGCUUAAGGAGGGGGUCGCGGCUGAUUAGCUAGUUGGUGAGGUAAUGGCCCACCAAGGCGAUGAUCAGUAGCCGGCCUGAGAGGGCGCACGGCCACACUGGAACUGAAACACGGUCCAGACUCCUACGGGAGGCAGCAGUGGGGAAUUUUGCGCAAUGGGGGAAACCCUGACGCAGCAACGCCGCGUGGAGGAUGAAGUCCCUUGGGAUGUAAACUCCUUUCGAUCGGGACGAUAAUGACGGUACCGGAAGAAGAAGCACCGGCUAACUCUGUGCCAGCAGCCGCGGUAAUACAGAGGGUGCAAGCGUUGUUCGGAAUUAUUGGGCGUAAAGGGCGCGUAGGCGGUGCGGUAAGUUUGUGGUGAAAUCUCCGGGCUCAACUCGGAAAUGGCCGCGAAGACUGCCGUGCUCGAGUAUGGGAGAGGUGAGUGGAAUUCCCGGUGUAGCGGUGAAAUGC
rnacentral:rRNA from 1 species